rnacentral:rRNA from 1 species
AGCAGCCGCGGUAAUUCCAGCUCCAAUAGCGUAUAUUAAAGUUGUUGCAGUUAAAAAGCUCGUAGUUGAAUUUCGGGAUCAAGGAAUCGGUCACGCUUUGGUAUGUACUGGUUUUAUUGGUUCUCACCUUCUAAAGAACCAUAAUGUCAUUUAUUUGAUGUUAUGGGGAAUUAGGACUGUUACCUUGAAAAAUUAGAGUGUUUAAAGCAAGCUUACGCUUGAAUACAUUAGCAUGGAAUAAUGAAAUAGGACAUCAGAUUCUAUUUUGUUGGUUUCUAGGAUCGAUGCAAUGAUUAAUAGGGAUAGUUGGGGGCAUUAGUAUUCAAUUGUCAGAGGUGAAAUUCUUGGAUUUAUUGAAGACUAACUACUGCGAAAGCAUUUGCCAAGGAUGUUUUCAUUAAUCAAGAACGAAAGUUAGGGGAUCGAAGACGAUCAGAUACCGUCGUAGUC